AGUGCUGUGCACACAGAUGAAGAGCACGGAAGGCUGCGGCACUGACGGAUGGGGGAUGACAAGGACUUUCCUGUCCAUGUUAUGUCUGCGCUUCACACCGGGGAACAGUGUAGCCGCGGAGACAUGACCACGAUGCGAAGGAACGAACGACGCGAUGCGGACGUGAGGAGCAUCUGCCCCAGCUUCGAAGGAGGUGAGAGUUGUGGAUUUCAGGGAUGAGGCAGGUUCCUACUUAUGGACCCCAACCUGAGUGAGGAGCAAGAGGGAGACGGUCUUCUAGACUGUGGGCCCACUGUUGGGUAGGGACUGUCUCUAUAUGUUGCCAACUUGU